GCCGAGGUGAUGGAAAGGCAGACAUGAGGGGCUUAAAACCCCUUGGACUUAAAAAGUCCGUGUGGGUUCGACUCCCACCCUCGGCACAA
rnacentral:tRNA from 1 species